GUGGGGAAUAUUGGACAAUGGGGGGAACCCUGAUCCAGCCAUGCCGCGUGUGUGAAGAAGGCCUUUUGGUUGUAAAGCACUUUAAGCGAGGAGGAGGCUACCGAGAUUAAUACUCUUGGAUAGUGGACGUUACUCGCAGAAUAAGCACCGGCUAACUCUGCGCCAGCAGCCGCGGUAAUACAGAGGGUGCAAGCGUUAAUCGGAUUUACUGGGCGUAAAGCGCGCGUAGGUGGCCAAUUAAGUCAAAUGUGAAAUCCCCGAGCUUAACUUGGGAAUUGCGUUCGAUACUGGUUGGCUAGAGUAUGGGAGAGGAUGGUAGAAUUCCAGGUGUAGCGGUGAAAUGCGUAGAGAUCUGGAGGAAUACCGAUGGCGAAGGCAGCCAUCUGGCCUAAUACUGACACUGAGGUGCGAAAGCAUGGGGAGCAAACAGGAUUAGAAACCCGAGUAGUCC
rnacentral:rRNA from 1 species